rnacentral:rRNA from 1 species
GACACAAAAGCAGCCCACGUUAAGCACCCCAAAUAAGGGACUAAACCAAGUGGGCCCUGCCCUAAUGUCUUUGGUUGGGGCGACCGCGGGGAAUUAAAGAACCCCCACGUGGAGUGGGAGCACUUUUCCUACAGCCAAGAGCUACAGCUCUAGGAAACAGAAUUUCUGACCAACAAGAUCCGGCAAUGCCGAUCAACGGACCGAGUUACCCUAGGGAUAACAGCGCAAUCCUCUUUUAGAGCCCAUAUCGACAAGGGGGUUUACGACCUCGAUGUUGGAUCAGGACAUCCUAAUGGUGCAGCCGCUAUUAAG